rnacentral:rRNA from 1 species
CCCGACUGCUAUUUGGGUGAGGAUAAGCCAUGCGAGUUGAAUGGGAAACCUAAAGUUCCCAUGGCAAACUGCUCAGUAACACAUGAUCAACUUACCCUAUAGAGAAAAAUAACCUCGGGAAACUGAGGAUAAUGUUUCAUAGCUGAAUUGGCUUGGAAAAGUUUUUCGGCGAAAGGGGUAAAAAAAAUGGUUUUUAUCUGCUAUAGGAUAGGAUCGUGUUCGAUUAUGGUUGUUGGUGAGGUAAUGGCUCACCAAGCCGAUAAUCGAUAGGGGCCGUGAGAGCGGGAGCCCCGAGAUGGGUACUGAGACAACGACCCAGGCCUUACGAGGCGCAGCAGGCGCGAAACCUCCGCAAUACACGAAAGUGUGACGGGGUUACCCAAAGUGUUCAAUAGAACUGUGGUAGGUGAGUAAUGUUCCCUACUAGAAAGGAGAGGGCAAGGCUGGUGCCAGCCGCCGCGGUAAAACCAGCUCUUCAAGUGGUCGGGAUAAUUAUUGGGCUUAAAGUGUCCAUAGCCGGUUUAGUAAGUUCCUGGUAAAAUCGGGUAGCUUAACUAUCUAUAUGCUAGGAAUACUACUAUACUAGAGGGCGGGAGAGGUCUGAGGUACUACAGGGGUAGGGGUGAAAUCUUAUAAUCCUUGUUGGACCACCAGUGGCGAAGGCGUCAGACUGGAACGCGCCUGACGGUGAGGGACGAAAGCCAGGGGAGCGAACCGGAUUAGAUACCCGGGUAGUCCUGGCCGUAAACGAUGCAUACUAGGUGAUGGCACGGCCAUGAGCCGUGUCAGUGCCGUAGGGAAACCGUUAAGUGUGCCGCCUGGGAAGUACGGUCGCAAGGCUAAAACUUAAAGGAAUUGGCGGGGGAGCACCACAAGGGGUGAAGC